rnacentral:tRNA from 2 species
GCCACCAUAGCUCAGCUGGCAGAGCAGACGAUUCGUAAUCGUCAGGUCGUGGGUUCGUAUCCCACUGGUGGCUCCA